rnacentral:rRNA from 1 species
UACGGAGGGUGCAAGCGUUAUCCGGAUUCACUGGGGUUAAAGGGUGCGUAGGCGGAUUAGAAAGUCCGUUGUGAAAUCUCUGAGCUUAACUCGGAAAUUGCGGUGGAUACUAUUAGUCUUGAAUACUGUGGAGGUUAGCGGAAUAUGUCAUGUAGCGGUGAAAUGCAUAGAUAUGACAUAGAACACCAAUUGCGAAGGCAGCUGGCUACACAGAUAUUGACGCUGAGGCACGAAAGCUAGGGGAGCAAAUGGG